AACGAACGCUGGCGGCAGGCCUAACACAUGCAAGUCGAGCGGACCCUUCGGGGUUAGCGGCGGACGGGUGAGUAACGCGUGGGAAUAUGCCCUUCUCUACGGAAUAGUCCUGGGAAACUGGGGGUAAUACCGUAUACGCCCUUUGGGGGAAAGAUUUAUCGGGGAAGGAUUAGCCCGCGUUGGAUUAGGUAGUUGGUGGGGUAAUGGCCUACCAAGCCGACGAUCCAUAGCUGGUUUGAGGGGAUGAUCAGCCACACUGGGACUGAGACACGGCCCAGACUCCUACGGGAGGCAGCAGUGGGGAAUCUUAGACAAUGGGGGCAACCCUGAUCUAGCCAUGCCGCGUGAGUGAUGAAGGCCUUAGGGUUGUAAAGCUCUUUCAGCUGGGAAGAUAAUGACGGUACCAGCAGAAGAAGCCCCGGCUAACUCCGUG
rnacentral:rRNA from 1 species